AAAUUGAAGAGUUUGAUCAUGGCUCAGAUUGAACGCUGGCGGCAGGCCUAACACAUGCAAGUCGAACGGUAACAGGAAGCAGCUUGCUGCUUCGCUGACGAGUGGCGGACGGGUGAGUAAUAUCUGGGAAACUGCCUGAUGGAGGGGGAUAACUACUGGAAACGGUGGCUAAUACCGCAUAACGUCGCAAGACCAAAGAGGGGGACCUUCGGGCCUCUUGCCAUCAGAUGUGCCCAGAUGGGAUUAGCUAGUUGGUGAGGUAACGGCUCACCAAGGCGACGAUCCCUAGCUGGUCUGAGAGGAUGACCAGCCACACUGGAACUGAGACACGGUCCAGACUCCUACGGGAGGCAGCAGUGGGGAAUAUUGCACAAUGGGCGCAAGCCUGAUGCAGCCAUGCCGCGUGUAUGAAGAAGGCCUUCGGGUUGUAAAGUACUUUCAGCGGGGAGGAAGGUGUUG
rnacentral:rRNA from 1 species